CCUGCCCCUAGAAAUGUGUCUGUGUAGCUGCUGUGUCACAUGUGCAUCAGUAGGUGGCAGAGAGGAGAGAGGCUACGUUUGUAUUAAGUGUUCCAACCUAUGAACAUCUGAAUUGACUAGAAGCCUAACAGU